UCGGGAAUUUUGCCCAAUGAGCGAAAGCUUGAGGCAGCAACUCCGCGUGAGGGAUGAAGGCUCUAGGGUCGUAAACCUCUUUUCUCAGGGAAGAUACAAGACGGUACCUGAGGAAUAAGCGACGGCUAACUACGUGCCAGCAGCCGCGGUAAUACGUAGGUCGCGAGCGUUGUCCGGAUUUACUGGGCGUAAAGAGCGCGCAGGCGGCUGGCCAAGUCCGAUGUGAAAGCUUCCGGCUUAACCGGGAAAAUGCAUCGGAAACUGGUCGGCUUGAAGGUGGGAGAGGGUAGCGGAAUUCCCGGUGUAGUGGUGAAAUGCGUAGAUAUCGGGAGGAACACCAGUGGCGAAGGCGGCUACCUGGCCCAUUCUUGACGCUGAGGCGCGAAAGCUAGGGGAGCGAACGGG
rnacentral:rRNA from 1 species